CUUUCUCCUUAUUUUUCUCCAUCUUAAACAGAAGUUGAGGGGAAUGCUGUCUGGUUCGAGACCAUUCAUCAUCUGAAUGAUCUCGGACCAGGCUUCAUUCCCCUCAACAUAACUCAUCUCAAAAUCUCUUCUACAACAUAACCCUCCUUCCCUGCAUUUUGUUUCUCUUUGUAUUUGCACGUGAAGGUGUGGCUAGAACAGAAAGAGGAUAUGCGUUGCUCAAUUAAGGAAAAACUCACUGGAAUCUGCAAUCCAAGCAGCUGAAAAUAAUCAAAGCACCUAUCGGCUUCUAAAAUAAAAUUCUGGGCUAAGAGAUCAGGCAUUCAUCUUCAUACAAAUGAAUAUAUAUAGAAGUGUAGAUUGUUGUUGCCUAGCUUACUGAUCAGUCUCUUAGAUUCUUCAUUACAUAGGCAAAUAAAUUCAUGCAAGGGGCCAGGAGGUCUUAAGUUACAUGAUAGAAGAGAUUUAGCUGCAGGCGGUUCAAGAGUUGAGCAUUUCUAUAAACUUUUUGAUGAUUGGAUGGAGCAUCAACAAACAAUUGACAAAUGUUUUUGCUGGGUGUCAAAUACAAUGUUACCUUCUUCAUUUUUACCAAAUUCGUUGAAAAACAGAA